AACGAACGCUGGCGGCAGGCCUAACACAUGCAAGUCGAACGCUGUAGCAAUACAGAGUGGCAGACGGGUGAGUAACGCGUGGGAACCUUCCCAGUGGUGCGGAAUAGCUCAGGGAAACUU
rnacentral:rRNA from 1 species